CCAGAAGGUCGGGCGGCCGCGAGCAGCAUGCUGUUCGAGGAAAGUCCGGGCUCCACGGAAACAACGGUGCCGGAUAACGUCCGGCGGGGGCGACCCCAGGGACAGUGCCACAGAGAGCAGACCGCCGCCCAUGGGCGGCAAGGGUGAAAGGGUGCGGUAAGAGCGCACCGCGCGGCUGGUAACAGGCGCGGCACGGCAAACCCCACCGGGAGCAAGACCGAAUAGGGGCGGCACGGUGCCUUUCCGGCACCAGGGCAUGUUCCGGCCCGCUGCCCGGGUUGGUUGCUUGAGGGCCGGGGCAACCCGGCUCCUAGAGGAAUGGUCGCCCAUCCCGGCGCGCAGGCGACGGGGGGACAGAACCCGGCUUACAGACCUUCUGGCAUU
rnacentral:RNase_P_RNA from 1 species